UACGUAGGGUGCAAGCGUUGUCCGGAAUUAUUGGGCGUAAAGAGCUCGUAGGCGGUUUGUCGCGUCUGCUGUGAAAACUCGGGGCUUAACUCCGGGCCUGCAGUGGGUACGGGCAGACUAGAGUGCGGUAGGGGAGACUGGAAUUCCUGGUGUAGCGGUGAAAUGCGCAGAUAUCAGGAGGAACACCGGUGGCGAAGGCGGGUCUCUGGGCCGUAACUGACGCUGAGGUGCGAAAGCGUGGGGAGCAAACAGG
rnacentral:rRNA from 1 species